UGGGGAAUUUUGCACAAUGGGCGCAAGCCUGAUGCAGCGACGCCGCGUGAGGGAUGAAGGCCUUCGGGUUGUAAACCUUUUUCGCUCAUGGUCAAGCCGCAGCUUUGGGUUGUGGUGAGGGUAGUGGGUAAAGAAGCACCGGCUAACUACGUGCCAGCAGCCGCGGUAAUACGUAGGGUGCGAGCGUUGUCCGGAAUUACUGGGCGUAAAGAGCUCGUAGGCGGUUUGUCACGUCGUCUGUGAAAUCCUAGGGCUUAACCCUGGACGUGCAGGCGAUACGGGCUGACUUGAGUACUACAGGGGAGACUGGAAUUUCUGGUGUAGCGGUGGAAUGCACAGAUAUCAGGAAGAACACCGAUGGCGAAGGCAGGUCUCUGGGUAGUAACUGACGCUGAGGAGCGAAAGCAUGGGUAGCGAACAGG
rnacentral:rRNA from 1 species